rnacentral:tRNA from 1 species
AAUAAAGUGCCUGAAAAAGGAUUAUUCUGAUAGGAUAAAUCAUGUAAUUAAAAUUACCUUUAUUA